ACGCACGCUGGCGGCGUGCUUAACACAUGCAAGUCGAACGGGUCUGCCCUGUUUUUUGCGGGGUGGGUCAGUGGCGAACGGGUGAGUAACACGUGAGUAACCUGCCCCUCACUUCUGGAUAACCGCUUGAAAGGGUGGCUAAUACGGGGUGUUCUGGCUGUGCCGCAUGGUGUGGCUGGGAAAGAUUCACUUUUGUGGUGUUUUGGUGGGGGAUGGGCUCGCGGCCUAUCAGCUUGUUGGUGGGGUGAUGGCCUGCCAAGGCUUUGACGGGUAGCCGGCCUGAGAGGGUGGGCGGUCACACUGGGACUGAGAUACGGCCCAGACUCCUGCGGGAGGCAGCAGUGGGGGGUAUUGCACAAUGGGCGGAAGCCUGAUGCAGCGACGUCGCGUGAGGGAUGGAGGCCUUCGGGUUGUGAACCUCUUUCGCCGGUGAAGAAGGUCCUGCUCUUUGUGGUGGGGUUGACGGUAGCCGGGUUAUGAAGCGCCGGCUAACUACGUG
rnacentral:rRNA from 1 species